rnacentral:lncRNA from 1 species
AUGAUGUGGAAGAAGUCAGGCGGAGUGGAUACACUUCUGUCCCACACUGCACAACCUUUGAUUCAUGCUCAGCUACAAAUGUUGUUUGCAAACUGCUUCAAGUAUCACAGAUUCAAGAUGGAAAGAAAUGGAAUACCGAUGGAGUCUGAAAUGGAAGAAACAAGAAAAGGGCAAGAUACGAAAGGUGACAUUUUAAUUCUGUCUCUGUAGAAUUAGCCAUUAGGAAGUGUUUAAAAUCUAUUUUAUAUAACAUWUGAGACACACACACACAGUGUGUACAGUAGUCUACAAGUCAAGGCCAAAAAGUUUCAAAUGUUAAGAAAAUUGGCUACAUUAAAUAUAAAAAGAAAAAUAGAUUUUUUUUUAUAAGUACUUUUCUUUUGCUYCUUACAUCACAAACGAGGCAAGACUUUUUCUCUCUUGUGGCAUAAGGAGUUAUUUUAGGGUUUUCCUUUUGUUUCUCCAAUUGACUCCCAAACUAGAGGUUUGUUAAAAAACAGGCUUCCCAUUUAUUCUGAAUUUAUUCAAAUCAUUCUCCAAAUUCAGGUAAAUAAUUUCUGUUACUACCUUGAAGAUCAUGUUUUGGUUAAUAUCGAGCAAGAAGAAAUGUUCCAUUUUAGAUGGUCUGCUAAGGUGAUUUAUCCACUUUCACUCUUAUAUUCAGCUAGGAAAAUAAUCUGCAUGACYAGCUCAGAAGUUAAUCAGUGAAACCACCUCCUACAAGUCUGUAAAGGUCAACUCUUAGAUGCUUACAGGAAAAGCKGUCUUGAAAGGUUCUCCUUCCGUAGUCCUAUUGGGAAUGAUAUUUAUUCUACUUAGCACCCAUCUUGAGUUUUCUAGACUGGGGUGUGGUUUUGUUUUUCAAAGCUUUUUGUAAGGACAGAGAUUAACCAUAACUUCCUCUCAAACCUUGUUUUUUUGGUUUUUUUUGUUAAUACAGAGAUGCUGAUAAUUGAAGAGCCAAGUUACCUGCAGGAGUCAGAUCAUUCAGAGACUGAGAAAAAAAUUAGAAAUGAUUCAUUUAUGUUGGCAUCAAAGAAUAGCAAAAAUGAAAUUGAUGAUAAUCUGGAUGAAACUAUAGUGAGCAGUUUCCGUAAAUUUUAGAGAACUAAACGUAUUUGUUGRUUUCAUUUUAUG